GGAGAGAUGGCUGAGUGGUCGAAAGCGCUCCCCUGCUAAGGGAGUAAGGGCACAAAACGCCCUUCGAGGGUUCGAAUCCCUCUCUCUCCGCCA
rnacentral:tRNA from 1 species